rnacentral:rRNA from 1 species
AGGAUGAACGCUGGCGGCGUGCUUAACACAUGCAAGUCGAACGAUGAAGGCUGGAGCUUGCUCUGGCUGGAUUAGUGGCGAACGGGUGAGUAACACGUGAGUAACCUGCCCCAGACUCUGGGAUAAGCGCUGGAAACGGCGUCUAAUACCGGAUACGAGCUUCCACCGCAUGGUGAGGAGCUGGAAAGAAUUUUCGGGUCUGGGAUGGACUCGCGGCCUAUCAGCUUGUUGGUGAGGUAAUGGCUCACCAAGGCGACGACGGGUAGCCGGCCUGAGAGGGUGACCGGCCACACUGGGACUGAGACACGGCCCAGACUCUACGGGAGGCAGCAGUGGGAAUAUUGCACAAUGGGCGCGAAGCCUAGAUGCAGCAACGCCGCGUGAGGACGAAGGCCUCGGUUACGUAACCUUACUUUAGUAGGAAGAAGCGAAGGUGUUUAUUCUACUU